ACAAGCGGCGGAGCGUGUGGUUAAUUCGAUGCUACACGAAGAACUUACCAGGUUGACAUGCAAGUGGUAGGAAUCUGAAAGGGACGACCUUCGGGAGCUUGCACAGGUGCUGCAUGGCUGUCGUCAGCUCGUGUCGUGAGAUGUUCGGUUAAGUCCGCUAACGAGCGCAACCCUCACUGUGUGUUAUAUGUGUCACACGGGACUGCCGGUUUUAAGCCGGAGGAAGGUGGGGAUGACGUCAAGUCAGCAUGGCCUUUAUAUCCUGGGCUACACACACGCUACAAUGGUCGGUACAAUAGGUUGCCAAGCCGCGAGGCGGAGCCAAUCCACAAAGCCGGCCUCAGUUCAGAUUGUAGGCUGCAACUCGCCUGCAUGAAGAUGGAGUUGCUAGUAACCGCAGGUCAGCAAUACUGCGGUGAAUACGUUCCCGGGUCUU
rnacentral:rRNA from 1 species